UCAGACGAGGAGGGAAGAGAGAGGUUGGAGAGGGAGAGGGAAAGAGGGAGACAAAGGAAGUGAGUGCAAGAGAGGAGCCGGCUCAGCAUCCGAACUAUAUGUGGUGAGCAUUCCCCGCCCGGCCCAGGGCAUGCCCCAGUUCACUUUCGCCUGUUUCUGUGGUCUUCACGGCUUCUGCAAGAUGAAGAGGAGGAAGGAAGACGCUCACAGAGAGCGGGAAACAGCGGUGUGAGCAGAACCAGGUCCCCCUUGUCAGCUCCCAGUGGAUCCAGGCCUGAGGCUGCUCACUGCUGUGAAGCUCAGUGCAAUGUCUUCCGGCUUCGUUUAACGAGCAUCUGACUAACAUGAGGGCAUCUGAGCCUUCUUGUGCCCACUCCCAUUGGCUUCCAAUCCUCUGUGCUCCUGGAGAGAGGCCUCAGCUACACAAGGGAUUUCCAGGACCAGCCACUUGCCUUCACACUGGGCAGCCGGGGACCAAGGAAUGAGGUUCCCAGGCUCCUCUCAGGGUUACUCCUCCCAGGAAGCUAAUGUGGCCUUGGGAGAGGAAAGUAGCUGUUCUUGAGAACCUUGGAGGGUUUGACACCACCUCCAGGGACAAGAUGGAGUCUCUCUGGGGCCCCAGUGUCUCAGUCCCCUCCCUGAAUCCUUUUGGGCCAGGUGAGCCAGGACUGAGAUUGGAGGCCAAAGUUAGACAUUUGAGGGGCCAGGCUGUGGAUGACUCUUCUGUGUGUCACAGGUCUGUCUUCCCUCAGUUCUGGCACUGGCCCACCAGUUCCUCACUUCUUAGGCAGCACACAGACGUGGGGAGGCCUUUCCCCAGGCACUAAGCCCCUCAGGGACUGUCCCUCAGAUCUAGGCUGAACCCCGCCCAUUUUGUUCAUCCAUCUCCUGCUCAUCGCCCCCUCUCCUUGGGAAGCUGGAGAGGGCAUAGCAUUGGCAUGCAACACCUUCAGAGGGCACUUGGUCGGGGAAACCUAGGGUUGUCCUUGACUCUUCCCAACCCAUUGUCAGCCUCCUGCUUCAGGAUCUUGUUCCCCACACCCAUUUCUAGGAGUGCAGAAACAAAAGAAAAGGCCUUUCCUCUCCUCUCUCUCCUUCCUCCCCUGGCCUUGUCAUCUCCCUGGUGCUAGAGAGAGAGCUGGGAAUUAAGAAGGAAGUCUAGGACGUCUAGCAAUAGAGAGAGUUUAUGCAGCUUCUAGUCUGCUGGCUUGCCACUCUCCUCAUGAGAACAGUUCACUAUGGAAAGGAGUCACAGUCCCAUCCCAUGGGAACAGAACAGAUAACCCUGGCAGGAAGGUCAGGGUCCAAGAUGAAGGAAGGCCUGAACUCAAUGAGGGCCUCUCUGAGCAAGGGACACUCCAGCAAGGCGUGUUUCUUGGGCUUUCUGCAUGAUUACUGGUAGUGUUGGUAGAGCUUGAGUACAGCCAAGCUUCUCUGUCCUCCAUUGGCUGUUCUCUUCCUUCCCACCUGAGCCACCUACUGUCUGCUAUUUUCUUUUAUAUUCAAAGAAUCCUAAACACAUCCUUCGCUCAGGGAAAAAACAGCAAGCAUCUUCAGCAAAGACCAGUGGGGUCACAAGGAACAAAGCAAACUUUACAGUUUCCUCUUACACAGUGGUGUCCUUGGGUGAGGCGGAGAUGGCAGAAAAGUUUUCGGGGUGUAUUUUGAGACUGAAGCCAGAGGUUCCCUCCCAGGGGGAGGCUAGCUGCGGCCUGCUUUCCAGACUGCAAUCAGAGAAGUCUCUCUGGAACCGGAGGAUGAAAUCAUAUCCCAAACACUAAGAGCCGUUAGGUGUUAUGUCCCAACCACAUAGGCUCGCCCAGAGGACAGGUCAGAGAAUGGAGAACUUAAGUCUGGGAAGGGCAAUAGGGGGGCAGUUCUCUUGUGCUCACUUCACAGCCCUUGGCAGGGACACAGCCACAGGGACUGGCAGAGCUGCUUAUCCCACAAGAGUGCCCUUGGUGUAGGAGAGACACUGGAUAUCUCAAGCCCUUACCAUAGGGACCUGGGAGGUUCAAGGUUCUUGGGACACCCCCGCCGCUUGCAGAUAGCUACCCUUGAACCCUUCAUCCUAGGUGAGGUGUAGCCACCCCGCAGUAGACAUGACCUGAGCAGGAGGCAACACUAGCAUCUAGCAAAUGUACACUUAUUAUUUUGACUGUUUUCUCAGGGAGAUAGGGACUCGGUCCUGCUCAGCAUCUGGGAAGCAGCCAGAAACCUGCUCCCAAUUCAGCUUCUGCCUGGUUUCAGUCAAUUUUAAAGUUCCUUCAUUCUGCCUGAGAGAAAGGCCAGCCCAUGGGUCUUUUUAGACUCUACUGAGGUGGCCCUCUGCUCUUAGGGUGAGGCAGGUAUACAGCCUUCCAUUACUACAGCCUGGCACUCGUCUUCCCUAGAGCGUGGGCUCUGCGUGCCCCACUUGAACACGAUCCCACCUCUCAGGCUAAGGAACUAGUCUGUGGAGAGUAGUGUAUAAAUGACUGCUGGGGUUCUUGGGACUUGAAUAUCCUCUAUGGCCCUGGCCCAGGACCCCCAAGAGCUUCUUGUCUUAGGUUCAAAAUAGUUAAUUAGAAUGCUAUUUCUUUUCUCCGCUCCUAAGGGAGGAAGGCAUUUUGAAUGCAGUAUAUGGAUUCAUAGAAAUACAUAGAGAAAUUGCUAAUUUCUAGAAGAAAAUAAAAGGCAACAAUUUAACUGAAACAGACAGAUGAGAUGCAAGGAGCCCUGAGCCAAGAGCAGGUCUCCAGGGUUCUAGCCUUGCUUGAGCACCAGUGACCCUGUGACCUUGGAUGAGUCAGGCCUUAUUUCUGGGACUGGUUUCUUCAAUGAUAAAAGGGACUGCACUGAUGUGCUCUGAGUCCAGGGCUUUGCUGGGUGUCGGGUGUCCUGUGACCCAGGGGAUGUGUUCUGAGGACAGCAUGGUGAAGACGGAAGGUUGGCGUACCCGGCAGAUCUGAGAAGCGGUAGAGUGUGAAGGAAAGCCCUAGAGGUUCUUCUAGAAUGUUCCUCCAGUGAGGCUGAGACUCCUUUCCUCCUCCAUAUAGCUAGAGUAACGGGAGUAAGUCUGUGGCCUGCACUCUGACCCCAGGCCCUGUCUAGGCCAUGACUGCUGCCAUCUGGGCUCUUACGGCACUAGUACCGAAGAGAUCCAGAAGGGCCUAACUUCUGCUUGGGUUCACUUUGUGCGGCUGCCUGUUGCCCAUCUCUGAGAUGACGCAGCCAUCCUCCCCCAUCCCUCAGGGGUCUGAGCAGCAGUGGGCAGGAGGCACUGGCACUGUCCAUGUGAGGAGGCGGUUUUCCCCUGGGGUCCCUCCUUCACUGACUGCUGACCGCAGAAACUGCUUCUUCUCUCCCACGGAUGAGUCCCACGCCUGCCCUCCCUACCCGGCAGGAAGAGCACCUUGUAUUGGAUGGAGCCUGACAUGGCAGGAAUUUGGAGAUGGACCCUUGGUUCCCAACCCCAAAGACAGGCUUCACCGGGAGAGGGAAUCUGGAUGGCUGCAUUCAGUGGUCUCCCAGCUGCUGCUCUAGGAAGUCCACCAUUCAUCCUGAAGGUUACUGCUGUGACUGGGCUGACAGCUCCCCAAAACCAAGAACCAGAGUCUUCUCUGGGAAUGAGCCUGCUGUAGCUUCCGCACACAGGAAGAACAGUGGUUGUCACUGCCGCCUAAUCCUAAAAGCUUCAGAGUACACGUUGCUAACCAAUCCAGGACCAGGGAGUCUGGCUUUCUCUGGACCCCCAGGCCAGCUCUGGAAUAGUGAGGGCCCACAAUGCUAGAGUUGCAGUAUAGGCCCCUUUUCUAGAUUCCUGUGGGGUCAGAACCUUGCAAGGAAAGCAGACUAUCCACAGGGAGGGUGAACUAGGAGUUGCCCAGAGCAGCCUUACAUCAAAGAAGACAUUUCAGAAGCAGGAGCCUUGUAACUUGGGCAUUCUGGGCCUGGUAGAAGCACCCAGGGGCUGGAGUUCAAGGGUCAGCUCCUUCCCUGCUGGGGCAGCCUCUCCCCUCUCUCAGCUCAUCCCUGCAUUCCAUCUGAGGGGCGGGAGGAAUGCCAGCGGGGGAGAUGGCAGGACCUAGACACAUCCUCAGGACUCUCCCAGCCUCCCUUGCCAUGGCAACGCUGCUAUUUUUAUCCUGUUGUUCAUGAUGCUCAGAGCUCUGACUUUCUCUGUUCCAGAGAGCCCAGCUGCCUUCUGCCCUCACCCCUAAGCAUAGCACCUUCUCACAGAGGCCCGAGGAGGGGAAGGGAUGCUGGGGAACGGGGGGCACAUUUAAGUCAUCCCCUAACCAAAAUUUGGUUUGCUGGCUUAAACAACCGGUUUUGUGUUUCCUGAGAGGUCAGAGCUAUGCUCCACCUGGGUAAUCACCAUCAGGCUCUCUGUGACCAAGGCAUGCACUGCUGCCUGUAUUGGGGACACCCAGUGUUCUGAGGAAUGUCCUGUUGGCAUAUGCAGUACAUAAAGAACUCUGCUUGACUGGUUACAGCAGUCAGAUAACUUGAUGUUGCUGUGGAAUUUAAAUGACUUCUCUUCUGUCCCUCUACCAAAGAGCUAGGACGAAUGCAUUUAUGGCUUUGUCUAGUCAUCCUACCCAAAGCAAGACAGCGUGUAUCCCCGAGCUAGAAAGAAGACUCCCUUUAAUUUAGUCAUAGUCCCUUUAGGAAAUUGAGGUUCCACCUCCAUUCCCUUGCAAGGUGCUGGAGAUGAAGCCCAAGACCUCAGGUCCACUAGACAAAUGUUCUCCAGCUGAGCUGUGCCUCCAGCCUGUAGCGCAAUGAUGCUCUUAACCGCAAGCACUUAGUGAAAGGUUUUCUUAGCUGUUCCUUCUGCCUCUCCUCCAAGGCCCGGUCUUUAAUUGUCUUCCUGUGUCCCAAAUUCCACCACAGUGGCAGGGAAUCCCUGAGAAUCAUUGGUGCUAAUGGUCUCCAUCUAUAUGCUUCUAUGUCAAUCAGUGAGAUGUGAGCUCAGCAUGUGGGGUGGCUGGGUUAUGGGGUACAUUCUAUGUGUGUCCCCAACACCUUGACCCUGGAAACAGGUCCAGAUCUUAACCCAGCAGGCAGAAAUCUGAAUCUUGUUAACCUCUGCUUCAGUUGAGCUGACUCCUGAGUGGUUCUUUUUCUUAGUGUGACCGAUACCCAUUUACUAAGCCUCGUUGGUUUCAUUUUGGCCCUAGUUGCACGGUUUCCAAAAUCUAUGCAUCUGGAGUAAGCACUUUUCUGGUUACCACUGAAAAGCAUGCUGGCAGAUUCUGCUCUGAUAAUUGCUGUAAUAAACACACUUUAUUACGUC